rnacentral:rRNA from 1 species
GACGAACGCUGGCGGCGUGCUUAACACAUGCAAGUCGAACGGAAAGGCCCUGCUUUUGUGGGGUGCUCGAGUGGCGAACGGGUGAGUAACACGUGAGUAACCUGCCCUUGACUUUGGGAUAACUUCAGGAAACUGGGGCUAAUACCGGAUAGGAGCUCCUGCUGCACGGUGGGGGUUGGAAAGUUUCGGAGGUUGGGGAUGGACUCGCGGCUUAUCCGCUUGUUGGUGGGGUAGUGGCUUACCAAGGCUUUGACGGCUAGCCGGCCUGAGAGGGUGGCCGGCCACAUUGGGACUGAGGUACGGCCCAGACUCCUACGGGAGGCAGCAGUGGGGAAUAUUGCACAAUGGGGGGAAGCCUGAUGCAGCAGCGCCGCGUGCGGGAUGACGGCCUUCGGGUUGUAAACCGCUUUCGCCUGUGACGAGGCGUGAGUGACGGUAAUGGGUAAAGAAGCACCGGCUAACUACGUG